AUCAAUACACCGCCGGGUGUCACUAAAAAAAGUAUUCUUUAUAAUUCCAUUAGGCCAUUGAAGGAAUUGUAAGGGAUACUUUAUUUUU
rnacentral:ncRNA from 1 species